rnacentral:tRNA from 1 species
GGAGGGUACAGCUCAGUGGUGGAGCAUGUGCUUAGCACACACGAGGUCCUGGGUUCAAUCCCCAAGCCCUCUG